UUUGGUGACAAUGAUGAACUUCUAGGCAUAAAGAUCAUAGACUUCUCUUUUUUUCUCUUUUUUUACAAAGGAUCUCUUGCCUCUUACUUAGGAUACAAUGAACUUGGAUAAGAGAUAAAUUACAAUCUUAGAGUAUUUAUUUAGAAACCUAACAAUCCUUUCAGAUCUUCUCCCAGUGUGGAAGAUAGAUUUUGCGGUGAAAAGGCAUGUUUUUGCAUACUCCUAGGGUAGGAGCAACAGGAUAUAUGUGGGUGUAAGUGAUCUUGAUCUUGGGAGCAUGACCAUCCUCUCGACAAGGGUCUCACAUGGGUUAACUAAACUCAAUACAAAGUAAGCAACUUAUGAGCUGAUUUUUCUAGUCUACCAAGCAUGUAUAUAUGGCUAUGGUAGGAAUUAAAGCUCUUGUUGUACAGGAACUCAUUAUGUAGAAUUUUAAGUUUUUCAAAAUAUAAAUCUCUAGAACUCUAGUGCCACUAGGAACAAGAUAAACAAUAGCUUGGACCUUUUUAUAUCAUAUCUGUCAAUCACCUAGACUU
rnacentral:lncRNA from 1 species